rnacentral:rRNA from 1 species
GCUCCAAUAGCGUAUACUAAAGUUGUUGCAGUUAAAAAGCUCGUAGUUGGAUUUCUGGUAGUGGAGUCAGGUCCGCCCCUCACGGGGUGUGUACUGGGCGUCCAUCACCAUCAUCGAGGAGAACAUGCCUGGCAUUAGUUGUUGGGUAUGGUGUCCUCGUCAUUUACUGUGAGCAAACUAGAGUGUUCAAAGCAGGCUUA